AUAAACACUAUGGAUGUUUCUCCCGGAGCUUUCCAAUUCUUCAUCAUGAACAUGAAUUUCUUAACCUCUAUAUAUUCUACUUGGGCUGCAAGUCCCCGGAUAUCGUCAUUGUGCAGGUCCAGGAACGUCACCUCAGUAGUCUUCCACUCUCUCCAUCCUCUUUUUAAAGUAAAUAGCUUCAUGUAGUAAUCAUUAGCAUGCCUCUUCAGCUCACUCUCAUCUUUCAUCGAGAUGCCAUAAUCAUUAUUUAGCAUGAGAAUUUUUUUCUUUCUCCUU
rnacentral:lncRNA from 1 species